AUGGCGAAGACCUACCCCGUUGUCAGCGCCGAGUACCAGGAGGCCGUCGAGAAGGCCAGGCAAAAGCUCCGCGCCCUCAUCGCCGAGAAGAACUGCUCCCCGCUCAUGCUCCGCCUCGCGUGGCACUCCGCUGGGACCUUCGACGUGUCGUCCAAGACAGGCGGCCCGUUCGGGACGAUGAAGAAGCCGGCGGAGCAGGCGCACGCCGCCAACGCGGGCCUGGACAUCGCCGUGCGGAUGCUCGAGCCCAUCAAGGAGGAGAUCCCCACCAUCUCCUACGCUGAUCUCUACCAGCUUGCGGGAGUUGUCGCGGUGGAGGUGUCCGGUGGGCCCGUGAUCCCCUUCCACCCAGGGAGGGAGGACAAGCCUCAGCCCCCACCUGAGGGUCGCCUCCCUGAUGCUACCAAGGGUUCUGACCACCUAAGGCAAGUCUUCGGCAAGCAGAUGGGCUUGAGUGAUCAGGAUAUUGUUGCCCUCUCUGGUGGCCACACCCUGGGAAGGUGCCACAAGGAGAGGUCUGGCUUUGAGGGACCCUGGACAAGGAACCCUUUGAAGUUUGACCACUCUUACUUCACGGAGCUUCUGAGUGGUGACAAAGAGGGGCUUCUUCAGCUUCCAAGUGACAAAACCCUGCUGACUGACCCUGUCUUUCGCCCUCUUGUGGAGAAAUAUGCUGCGGACGAGAAGGCUUUCUUUGAGGACUACAAGGAGGCACACCUCAGGCUCUCCGAACUGGGGUACGCUGAAGCAUAA
rnacentral:rRNA from 1 species